UACGUAGGGCGCAAGCGUUGUCCGGAAUUAUUGGGCGUAAAGAGCUCGUAGGCGGCUUGUCACGUCGGAUGUGAAGGCCCGGGGCUUAACCCCGGGUCUGCAUUCGAUACGGGCAGGCUAGAGUUCGGUAGGGGAGAUCGGAAUUCCUGGUGUAGCGGUGAAAUGCGCAGAUAUCAGGAGGAACACCGGUGGCGAAGGCGGAUCUCUGGGCCGAUACUGACGCUGAGGAGCGAAAGCGUGGGGAGCGAACAGG
rnacentral:rRNA from 1 species